rnacentral:rRNA from 1 species
GUGAAAUUGUUGAAAGGGAAACGAUUGAAGUCAGUCAUGCCGACGGGAAUCAACUUAGGGGAAACUCUGAGUGCACUUCACGUUUGGCAGGUCAGCGUCGAUUUUGGAUGUCAUAAAAUGAUUGGGGGAAGGUAGCUCCUUCGGGAGUGUUAUAGCCCUUGGUAGAUGUGAUGUCCGGGAUCGAGGAUUGCAACGGAUACCCUUUGGGCUAGCCGCCUGAUCUCUAAUUGGUGUUGGGUUACGGACAGCAUGCUGACCGUGAUCUAAUUAUUGGUUAAAAGGUUAGAGUGCACAUAAAUUCGUUAAGGACACUGACGUAAUGGCUUUAAACGAC